UGCACAUCUCUGUUAAUGAUGGAGUAUAACAUCGUGUAGUUACUUAGGUCAAAGACCCUGUAGAUGCUGAGAAAAAGGGAGCCAGAAAGUGUAGAUGCUUUUAGAAAGGUUCUGCUUCUGGACUCUGUCUUUCUGAGAUUGGAGAGAUCACUGCUGAUAUCUCUAAGAAAAUGCAACAUCUAAUUAGCACCAUAAAAUGAAAGUUUACCUGCUGAAGAAGAUCCGAUAAAAGCAUAAAGAGCUGUUUUAAGGGGGCGAAGCUGCUGCAUUUUCAUCAGCCCCCUCCAACUCUUAAGCUUCAGUACAAGAACUUCUUGGUAUAUUGAAUGCAAUAACAAAAUCAAAACCCCUUAAUUUAAUAAUUUGGGUUUCAAGUAAAACUAUAAACUCAAACUAAAUUAAAACACUAGUGUUGUGUUUGGCUGAGUGAAUGCGAUUCCGGAAGGAAUGGAAUGAAAAAUGAACUAUAUUAUGAGUAAUUGUUAACAAUUUUCAUUCUUUCCCCCAUUCCAUUCCUCACAUUAUGUGUUAGAUCAUACCUUCGAUUUGAGAUGGAAUGCUCCAUUCUCUCCUACCCCCAAUUUCUUCUCAAAUCUCAUCAUAGCAAUUUUGCACUCACUUAAAUUUAUUUCAAAACUUCCUCCUAACUCUAUUAGUUUUAAGUAAUUUUACUCAUUUCAUUCCAUUCCAUUCUCUUCUCCCAUUCCAAACACAACAUAGUAGAUAAAGUAAACCAGAUUCCUCUUCCUAAGAGAUGCAAAAAUACUUACCCCUUGAUAAACAACUCGAUUAAGAUGUAAAACCAUCAAUUGAGAGAUAAACUCGAAUAUUUUCGAACACAUAUAUUAACAUUUUGGCAUCUAAAGGAUGAAAUUUGGUACGGAAGCAUAAUAAUCUCAACUAAAAGAUAUCACACCUGUAAUGGUGCUUCUUAAUUAUUGCUUUAUUAGCGAGUUCAAC
rnacentral:lncRNA from 1 species